GCCCCGUUCGUCUAGAGGCCUAGGACGCCGGCCUCUCACGCCGGUAACACGGGUUCGAAUCCCGUACGGGGUACAA
rnacentral:tRNA from 19 species